rnacentral:rRNA from 1 species
GACGAACGCUGGCGGCGUGCCUAAUACAUGCCAGUCGAACGCUAAAGGAGGAGCUUGCUUCUAUGGAUGAGUUGCGAACGGGUGAGAAACGCGGAGGUAACCUGCCUGGUAGCGGGGGAUAACUAGUGGAAACGAUAGCUAAUACCGCAUAAGAGUAGAUGUUGCAUGACAUUUGCUUGAAAGGUGCAAUUGCGUCGCUACCAGAUGGACCUGGGUUGUAUUAGCUGGUUGGUGGGGUAACGGCUCACCAAGGCGACGAUUCAUAGCCGACCGGGGAGGGGGGUCGGCCACACUGGGAGUGAGACACGGCCCAGAGUCCUGCGGGAGGCAGCAGUAGGGUAUCGUCGGCAAUGGACGGAAGUCUGACCGAGUAACGGCGCGUGUGAGAAGAAGGCUUUCGGUUCGUAAAGCUCUGUUGUGAGUGAAGAACGAGUUUGACAGUGGAAAGUGCACACUGUGACGGUAUCUUAACAGAAAGCGACGGCUAACUACGUG